rnacentral:rRNA from 1 species
GACGAACGCUGGCGGCGUGCCUAAUACAUGCAAGUAGAACGCACAGUUUAUACCGUAGCUUGCUACACCAUAGACUGUGAGUUGCGAACGGGUGAGUAACGCGUAGGUAACCUGCCUGGUAGCGGGGGAUAACUAUUGGAAACGAUAGCUAAUACCGCAUAAUAUUAAUUAUUGCAUGAUAAUUGAUUGAAAGAUGCAACUGCAUCACUACCAGAUGGACCUGCGUUGUAUUAGCUAGUAGGUGAGGUAACGGCUCACCUAGGCGACGAUACAUAGCCGACCAUAAAGGGUGGUCGGCCACACUGGGACUGAAACACGGCCCAGACUCCUACGGGAGGCAGCAGUAGGGAAUCUUCGGCAAUGGACGAAAGUCUGACCGGGCAACGCCGCGUGAGUGAAGAAGGUUUUCGGAUCGUAAAGCUCUGUUGUAAGAGAAGAACGGGUGUGAGAGUGGAAAGUUCACACUGUGACGGUAUCUUACCAGAAAGGGACGGCUAACUACGUG